GAUGAACGCUGGCGGCGUGCCUAAUACAUGCAAGUCGAGCGAACGGACGAGAAGCUUGCUUCUCUGAUGUUAGCGGCGGACGGGUGAGUAACACGUGGAUAACCUACCUAUAAGACUGGGAUAACUUCGGGAAACCGGAGCUAAUACCGGAUAAUAUUUUGAACCGCAUGGUUCAAAAGUGAAAGACGGUCUUGCUGUCACUUAUAGAUGGAUCCGCGCUGCAUUAGCUAGUUGGUAAGGUAACGGCUUACCAAGGCAACGAUGCAUAGCCGACCUGAGAGAGUGGUAGGCCACACUGGAACUGAGACACGGACCAGACUCCUACGGGAGGCAGCAGUAGGGAAUCUUCCGCAGUGGGCGAAAGCCUGACGGAGCAACGCGGCGUGAGUGAUGAAGGUCUUCGGAUCGUAAAACUCUGUUAUUAGGGAAGAACAUAUGUGUAAGUAACUGUGCACAGCUUGACGGUACCGAAUCAGAAAGCCACGGCUAACUACGUG
rnacentral:rRNA from 1 species